AAUGUACUCCCUCCGUCCGGAAUUACUUGUCAUCAAAAUGGAUGAAAAUGGAUGUAUGUAGAAUUAAAAUACAAUACAUCCAUUUCAAUGACAAGUAUUUCCGGACGGAGGUAGUAAUUG
rfam:Triticum urartu cultivar G1812 contig761524, whole genome shotgun sequence.